rnacentral:rRNA from 1 species
GACGAACGCUGGCGGCGUGCCUAAUACAUGCAAGUCGAGCGGACGUUGUUGAAGCUUGCUUCAACAACGUUAGCGGCGGACGGGUGAGUAACACGUGGGCAACCUGCCUUAACGACUGGGAUAACUCCGGGAAACCGGGGCUAAUACCGGAUAACAUCUAGCACCUCCUGGUGCCAGAUUAAAAGAGGGCCUCUGGCUCUCACGUUAAGAUGGGCCCGCGGCGCAUUAGCUAGUUGGAGAGGUAACGGCUCCCCAAGGCGACGAUGCGUAGCCGACCUGAGAGGGUGAUCGGCCACACUGGGACUGAGACACGGCCCAGACUCCUACGGGAGGCAGCAGUAGGGAAUCUUCCGCAAUGGACGAAAGUCUGACGGAGCAACGCCGCGUGAGUGAUGAAGGGUUUCGGCUCGUAAAGCUCUGUUAUGAGGGAAGAACAAGUGCCGUUCGAAUAGGGCGGCACCUUGACGGUACCUCAUCAGAAAGCCACGGCUAACUACGUGCCAGCAGCCGCUGUAAUAC